rnacentral:rRNA from 1 species
UACAGAGGGUGCAAGCGUUGUUCGGAAUUCUUGGGCGUAAAGCACGUGUAGGCGGCUUGUUAAGUCGGGUGUGAAAGCCCUCAGCUCAACUGAGGAAGUGCACCCGAAACUGCUGGGCUUGAGUGCCGGAGAGGAUGGCGGAAUUCCCCAAGUAGAGGUGAAAUUCGUAGAUAUGGGGAGGAACACCGGUGGCGAAGGCGGCCAUCUGGACGGUAACUGACGCUGAGACGCGAAAGCGUGGGGAGCAAACAGG